AUAGACCUCUACUGGUAGUCUUUUAUAGGUCAUCCCCUCAAUUCUCCCCCUAUCCCUCUCUAAAUUAUUAUCUUUCCUUUUAAGGAAGCUUCUUAGACUUUCUCUAUUUAUGUUUAUGAUAUAAAUAUAUAGGUAGUAACCAUGGCUACUAUAGGGUGAGAGAGUAGGCAAUGGUUUGGUGAUUUUGUUGACAGAAGAUAGAGAGCACUGAUGAUGAUAUGCAAAAUUAAUCAAUUAAUGGGCUCUCUCUCUUUCUCUGCAUUUCACUCUUCUGUGCUCUCUAUGCUUCUGUCAUCACCUUCAACUCUCUCUCUCAUCCUUUCUUCUUCUUUCUUUCUUUCUUUCUUUCUUUCUUUCUUUCUUGCUUUUAUACCUGCCUUCAAUUUGCUACUGUGAUUAUUAUUUCUUGUUAUUUUCAUCAUGUAUUUAUUUGUUUAUUUGGUUAGGUUUCCAACUAACAAUUUCAGGGUUUUGCAGAUAGCUGGUUUUGUUCUGCAAGCUUCUAUUUAAUUAUUGUAUUUAUCUUUAUUUGUUCAGCAAGAUAAUGUUUCAGCUUGUGGGAGUGAUUCUUGAUGAUGAUGAUGAUAAAAUAAAAAGCCAAGCAAAGUAUUGUGAUUAGCUGAUUUUCUUUGAAGGAAAGCUUCAUGAAGAUGGAGACAUGGCAACUUCAGAUGCUGCAUGUGAUUCCACACAUCAUCAAAGUCAUUUAAUGGAUAAAAAGAAGCAACAAUGAGGAUGCAAGUUGAACAUUUUAUGAUGGAGAUGUACAUUUUUUGUUUUCCCCUUUGAAAUGUUUCAAACUAAGUUCUUUUGUUUAUAAAAAUGAGGAUCAAGUUUAACAUUUU